UUAGAUCUCCGAAAGAAUAAAUCCUCCCAAAUUUACCUUCAGACCUUAUCUUAUCCCCAAGUCUUCCUCGACCACCAUGCGCGCCGCCCCCAACCUAGGUCCUCGCCUGAACCAUGGCCGCCGCGGAGGCUGACCACCACUCGUCGCCGCCGGUGCUAGCUUCCUCCCCAACCAACACCCCCACGCCCGUCCCGCCAACCACCCUUCCCUGGGCGCCCCCAAGCAGCGUCACCUCCGCACUCAGUUCCGUUCUCCCGCGACCUAGAUCUACUGCCGUCCUCCACCAGCCGGCUUCUCUUCCUCGAGCAGUCGCUUCAACCUCCAGGAGCUCCUCUCCUCCGGCAGCAACUUCUCCACGAGCAUCCUCUACACGCCAAGCAUGCCUCCUAUUCGUCCUCUGUGCCAAGCAGUGCCAUUUCGAGUACAUCAUCUCCCCUGGAUAGCGCCUCAUCUAUGUCCUUGCCCCUCCCCUAGCACCACUUCCUCUACUUCUCAACUGAUGAUGAGAUUUAUUUGCUAUUUCUCUCAUUCAGCCCUUAGUAAUCUUGUAAUGGGCACUGAUAUGGUGUUGAAAAUUUCCUGAAAUGGCAUGAUUCAGUUCACUAUUCAGUUCACUGAUGUGCUCCUUGCUAUACUAUCUCUUAAUGCCUUCCCCUAAUCACAGAGCCCGUAAUUAGUACAUAUCAGGAAUAUGUUGUCUGUACACAUAAAUUUCUACUCUUGUACUGAUUGCAUCUUUUUUAUUGUAUGUUUUCCUGAUCUAUUUGAAGUGGAAUUGAAGUCUUAUUCUGCUUUACUGUUAAAUCUCAUGUAUGUACCAGAAUACCAUAUAUGGUUUAGUUUCUUAGAUACAUUAACUUCACUUUUCAUGUGGAAACAAUUUUGCACAUCAAAACUAUGAUGCAACCCCUUCUGAUGUAAGAUACUCUUAAGCUUAUGAUUGCUGUCCGCGCUGUUGUAUAUUUAAAAACAUGAUUCAUAUAUGAUACUUUUUAAUUUGUUAUACUACACAUAAUAUCCCAGUUAUUGAAUUACACCAUCAAAAGUAUACUUUGUGCUCAUUUCUUACUAUAUUUUACGCUUAUGAGAACAGUUUAUUUUCAUAUUUUUUUGGAUGUUUUCACCAGGGAGGCACUUCAUUGUGUUGUUAAGUGAUCAAACUAGCCAUUUGUUUUUACUCCCUCCGUCCCAAAAUUCUUGUCUUAGAUUUGUCUAGAUACGGAUGUGGUAAGAAACAAUAUCAAUGUUGUAAUCUUUGUCUACUUGUGGUACAGAUUUUAUAGAAACAAUUGGAAACUAUAAUCAGGAUCAUGUAUACUUGCUUUCCAGUUAUCAUUUGAGCUUUGACCUAAGUCAGCAGAAUUCUUUUUUGUAACAUGGUUCUCAUCUCUGCACACAUGUUGUUUUCCUUCUAUGUUAAGAUUUUUUAAAACAAAAUACAUGGAUUGACAUAUGAUUUGUUAGCCUUGUUGUUUUUUGUAACAUGGUUCUCAUCUCUGCAAUAAGAUUGUUGUUUUGUUGCUGAUAAUUUGGAGGUUUUGGGUGCUUGUUGUUUAGGUUUUGCGUCAAGGACUCAAGGUUUGGUAUUAGUGCUUAUCUGUGUGGCAUAGUUUGUGAUGUUUUGAGGGUACCCCGAAUCUUAGACAUGUGGUUGAGUAUUAUCAGUCUCUAGUAAUGGAAAUGGGGAGAUAUGCUCCUAAAUCUUAAAAAUGGAAGAACAUGGGUCAUGAUGCUAGCUGAGUAUCGUGCUCUUUUCUCCUAGAUGUAAUUCUUGCAAACUGUUCUCUAAUUUUCACUUGGUGUUUUCACUGAAAUAAUCUUUUUGGGUUGUUUUUCCUGUGAUCUGUGUGCAUCUUAUUUGUCCUCUCUGGCAAGCAGCGUCUACAACGUCAUCUCCCCCAGGUAGUGCAUCGUCUACGUCCUUGGCUGCAAGUAGUGUCGCCUCGCCUCUACUUCCUCGUCCGAGCAGCACUGCCUACGUCAUCUGCCUCGUCGCUCGAGCAACACCACCUCCUCUACUUCUAGACAGACGAUAUUGUGACUUCACUUAGGAGAGGGGAUCUCAGAUUCCUUAAGCAAGCCCUUGAUAGACAUGAAGAUCCGUAACUUCACAUAUUUGUGUGCUGAAAAAUUUCAACCCUCCGAUGCAACUGAUUGCUUCCUACUUAUUUGUACGGGGACACUGAUUGCUUAUUUCUCUUGCAGGGUUAUAAAAUGUGGUGUCUACCUCGUUGGAGAAACUUGAACUCCAGGUCUACCGGAGAUUAGUGAAGAAAAUCUGAGUCUAAACUUGAAGGUGUCCUUGUCACAAAUUUACAGAAUGAACCAAUCCUUUUCACUUUGCUUUAUUUUGCAGCCAUAUCAUCGAGAGGGAGAAGGAAUCAUCUAAGGCGCAUCAAAUCGAGUUAGAGGUCUCUGCAUCCAUUUUAGAAGUUUUGCCAAAGGUGACCACGACAAACUUUUUAUCCUGAUACAAGCACAUUAUUUGAAUGAGAUGGCGUCUAUUGUUGGUGGCUUAUCCUGAUACACUAGUUGAUGGAGGAUUGGAUAAUCUACAAGCCGUUGAAGGUUUGCAAGACCUACAAUUAAGUUGGUGGAUUGGUAAUGUAAUGCGCCUUGUUUGUUGAACCUGGAAACAUUGACAAAUUCUGUUUGUUUUGGCACAUAGCCAUGUAUGCUCGUUUUUAGUGUGUGACACAUCUAGAAACAUAUGUACUUUUCCCUUUGUGGCACUAAUUCAUUUUGGUUGCGUGGCACAUCUAGAAACAUAUAUGUACUUCUCCUUUUGUGCCACAACCUGCUUAUACGUUUAUCGAAUGAAGUUCAAGGGUUUCGAUGAGGCCUA